AUGGACAAGGUAACUAAAUCAGUUGAAUUGAUGCACACUGUCAAUUCUGUCACCAUAAAGUUGGGUGCCAUCUGGCAUCUGCAGAGUAUCAAAGCUUCUUCUAGAUCAAAGAAAGCUAAUCCAGAAUCAACCAUAGUCAGUGCAAGAAGGUUAUACAGGGCAGAUGAUAUUUCAUCAGAGAGGUAUACUACAGUGAAAAUAUAA
rnacentral:rRNA from 1 species